UACGGAGGGUGCAAACGUUGCUCGGAAUCAUUGGGCGUAAAGCGCACGUAGGCGGUUCGGCAAGUUGGAUGUGAAAGCCCUCGGCUCAACCGAGGAAGUGCAUUCAAAACUACCGAGCUAGAGUACCGGAGAGGGUGACGGAAUUCCCGGUGUAGAGGUGAAAUUCGUAGAUAUCGGGAGGAACACCAGCGGCGAAGGCGGUCACCUGGACGGAUACUGACGCUGAGGUGCGAAAGCGUGGGGAGCAAACAGG
rnacentral:rRNA from 1 species